CAGUUGUGCAUAUUGCUAACUAAGAUGAUGAACAUGGUAAACAUUAUGCCUGCUAAGCAUUCGCAUGUUAGCCUUUUUAUUUUGAGCAUGUUACAGUAGCAUGCUGAUAUUAGCAUUUACCUCAAAGCACCACUGAGCAAACGUACAGCCU